AUGAGUAGAGAGCUUUCGAUUAUCACACGGAACGUGCGAGGGCUGGGCAGACAUAAAAAAUGCACUGAUGUGAAAUCGACUCUGUCUUCGGCCCCUUGCUCGGUUCUCUGUAUUCAAGAAUCCAAGCUCCAGGACAUUUCUCAUUUCAAGGCUAUCUCAUUUCUUCCAACUAACCUUCGCAACCUCCAUCUCAUUCCCUCCACUGGCGCUUCAGGAGGGAUUGUCACUGCCUGGGAUGACGGCAUUUUUGAAUGCUCUAAAGUCGUAAAAGGAGAUUACGCUCUAACUUGUUGGUUUGAGUCACGUGCCGACGACUUGGCCUUUGCCGUCACCAACGUCUAUGGCCCAUGCGACUCUGCCUCUAAACCCAUCUUCUUGCAAUACUUCGUUGAUUUGAUGCCUGAUAUCUCCUGCCCUUGGGCAAUCAUCGGCGACUACAAUAUUACCCUCCGGCCGUCGGAUAAAUCUUCAAACCAUUUCAACAUGACCGAGGCCAAUCUCUUCUCCUCUACCAUUAACACUCUUCAACUCCAGGACCUCCCUCUCCUUGAUAGACGUUUUACCUGGUCGAAUCAGCAACAAGUGCAAUCCUAG
rnacentral:rRNA from 1 species